CACUUGGGUCUGGGCCCUAAAUUCCACAGGAGCCGCUACGCGGCGGGCGGCGCCCUCUCUGAAACCCUAGACCUUAUCGCUAUAUACAUAGCCGCCGCAGCUGCCUCCGCCUCAGCGGCUCUUCCCCACUCGUUCCCUCCUUCAGCAUCACGUCCGACGGCGGCGGUUUCGGCUUGGACAUAUUUGAUGAGGAGACACAAGUUUUAAUGGGUAAUUUGCAUCUGAGGCAUCUCUGUGAUGUCACACCCUUUUCACCUUGGAGAUCUGAUGCUAUGCUCCCUACGGCCACUUGAUCUGUCUGCUUGUUUUUUUUUUUUUUUGCUUUGGCUGACGCUUCUCGAUUUGGGUUCGUGAUCCUGUUUUUGCGUAUGAUGUUCCAUAGUUUGUUUGUUUUUUGCCGCGGGGAGAUGAUGUGAUGAUCUAAUUGUUUCCCUAUUGGUUUGAUUGGCCGCCAUGAUGGCUCAAACUGUAUUAGCUCUAUCUGAUCAUCUCCUUGGCGAUCCGACUUUCCAAAACCACGGUCCCAUUUAUUUAAUCAAUACUAUGACAUUGCAACUGCUAAGUUUCUACUGGUGGUUUCAUAAUACUUGUUAUCAUAUAAUCAUGUAACACUUACGCAGACAAUUUACGUUCAAACGUGCUAGCAAGCCGCAUGGGCAUACAAAUCGAAACAAAGCUGAUCAGGAAACUUAUCUGCAACCGGCCGUUUGAGAUUUUUCCCCAAUUUGUCGACUUGCUAGUAUAAAGAUAUUAAAUUAAUAGAUGAUAAGAUUUACUAUACAAUAACUAUAAUUUUGUAUGAAAAGCAAAUAAUGAUGUAAAACAAAUAAACUGGAAAUUAAAAGUCUCAUCGGCCCGAAGCCCUGAAGCACACAACAGCCCAGUGUGGUCAAGCUAAUUAUUUUGUAUUUGCUAGCAUGUUUUUUAAUGCAUGUGCUAGUAUUCAUCGCAAUGCGCAGCGUGUUCUUGCUGGCAAUUGACUAAUGUUUUCAAAAUUUUGGAUGAAAGAAAUUUUAAAAAAUCUGGGGUAAACGAGGAUUCUAGAUUAAAUUAGAGAAAUUUAUAGAUUUUUAUGAAUUUAUUUAGCUCUUGUCCCUUUAGAUAUUGAUUCUAAUUUUUUAACAAUAAAUCUGGCUCAAAAAGUUGAACCUAACCGGCAUUAUCCUUGACCUCACAGUAUGAGGCUCAUACAAUAUGAAAGGUCCAGCCCUGAGCCCCUUAGGGCCUCCUGUGUGAUCUAGGGACAACUAUAACCGCUAAGUAUAAACUUGUAUAAGAGUGAAAACAGGAUGGGUACGGGGUACCUGGGUCGGGUAUUCGAUACGGGCAGCAAAAAACCUAGAUUUUUAGGUACAUAUAUAAGUAUUUUUAAUGCCAGGACGAAUACGAGUACUACCUGAUUAAUAACAUCCAAAUACGAGUAAGAUAUAAAAUCAAUAAUAUCCAGUAAAUACUCGUGAACCCGGGUACUCAAUGGUCAGGUACCCGCGUAUUGUCUCAAACCUAGCACUGUAGCUGCCUUGGGCAAUGUAGGCAGGACAGGAGGAGGCUUGUAGCUCUCCAACUGUGGAAGCUGCUGCAAGAAGGCAUCUUGGCUGGCAGCAAAAGGUGAUGGUACUCCAGCUCCAGCUUGCAGUGGUAGAGCUGUUGGCCGAUGUACACCGCCGCUACGACGGUUGGGCGGUGGUGUGCAUUAGCUGCCUCGUUGAGCCAACAAGGCCCGGCAUGAACCCACCGGCGACGUGGUCAUCAAACCAUAGCGCGCUGUGGGCCAUUCUCCGCAGGGUUGCCACUCGCUUCUUGAACACCCUGCAGGUCACCCAUCCUUCCUCCUGAACCUGAACCACCAUUCGUGCGUGCACGGGCAAGCAGAAGCAAAUGUUGUUAACUGAAUGGCAUGCUCGAUAUUUGUUGUUCAUCAAGCAGGCAGGCAGGCUUACGUAUAGGGACGGUCCCGUUCUCGGUGGUCUCUAGGUGGUACUCGUGCAUGCAUGAUCUAGUUAGACUUGUGAGUGGCCUCUGAAGAAGACGAGCGCUACUACCUUGCUUUCCAUCCGAUUUGGCUACUUCUCCGAUGACUCGCUCGUGGAAGUCGGGGUAUGUGAUGUAAUCGUGUUGUUUUAUAAUGUCCUUGUAAUUAGUAACUUUGAGCUCUAUGAUAUCAAUCUGUGGUAUAAUUUUCUAUAUUUGAGAGUAUAUCUUCUUAUUUUA